UGGGGAAUAUUGCGCAAUGGGGGAAACCCUGACGCAGCGACGCCGCGUGUGGGAUGAAGGUCUUCGGAUUGUAAACCACUGUCGCGAGGGACGAAGCUCUGACGGUACCUCGAAAGGAAGCACCGGCUAACUCUGUGCCAGCAGCCGCGGUAAGACGAAGGAUGCAAGCGUUAUCCGGAUUCAUUGGGUUUAAAGGGUGCGUAGGCGGACUGAUAAGUCAGUGGUGAAAUCUCUCGGCUUAACCGAGAAACUGCCAUUGAUACUGUUAGUCUAGAGUACAGAUGAUGUGGGCGGAAUAUGACAUGUAGUGGUGAAAUACUUAGAUAUGUCAUAGAACACCGAUUGCGAAGGCAGCUCACAAAACUGUAACUGACGCUGAGGCACGAAAGUGCGGGGAUCAAACAGGAUUAGAUACCCUAGUAGUCCCUGAGCGGGCUGGCAAGGCGCAU
rnacentral:rRNA from 1 species